GUUGGCUAUUGCCUUCUAUUUCUUCCCUCUGCACAAAUUCUUUAUUCUGAUUGGUUUUAACCAUCCAUUAAGCUUCCAGUUCUGAGAAUUAAACAUUAAUGGGGUUUUCUCUUUCAACACCAAGAUACCUUUAUCAGAGAAAAAUAGGUUGCAGGGCCAAUCUGCGCAUGCCAAGAUGAUGCAUAAAGUCAACGUAUAUGCUGGUUUAUUGAUUCCAAUUUUUUAACCUGUCUAUGACUCUGAAGAACUUGAUAACUAACUCCAUACCAACUCUUGACUUUAGGAAUGUUAGUAAUUGGUUUAUUCCAAUAAUUGCGGUUAAUUGUGGUAGUUAAUGUCUAAACAUUGUCGCUGUUCUGUUGAUUUUACUAAUUCCAAUUUUCUAAACAUUAGUUGUUCUCCAUUUCUGUUAAUUUUAGUGUUGGUUGACAUAACUUUCAUAUUA